UACGUAGGGUGCAAGCGUUGUCCGGAAUUAUUGGGCGUAAAGAGCUUGUAGGCGGUUUGUCGCGUCUGCUGUGAAAAUCCGGGGCUCAACCCCCAGCCUGCAGUGGGUACGGGCAGACUAGAGUGCGGUAGGGGAGAUUGGAAUUCCUGGUGUAGCGGUGGAAUGCGCAGAUAUCAGGAGGAACACCGAUGGCGAAGGCAGAUCUCUGGGCCGUAACUGACGCUGAGGAGCGAAAGCAUGGGGAGCGAACAGG
rnacentral:rRNA from 1 species